rnacentral:rRNA from 1 species
UUGCCAGCGAUUAGGUCGGGAACUCAAAGGAGACUGCCAGUGAUAAACUGGAGGAAGGUGGGGAUGACGUCAAGUCAUCAUGGCCCUUACGACCAGGGCUACACACGUGCUACAAUGGCGCAUACAAAGAGAAGCGACCUCGCGAGAGCAAGCGGACCUCAUAAAGUGCGUCGUAGUCCGGAUUGGAGUCUGCAACUCGACUCCAUGAAGUCGGAAUCGCUAGUAAUCGUGGAUCAGAAUGCCACGGUGAAUACGUUCCCGGGCCUUGUACACACCGCCCGUCACACCAUGGGAGUGGGUUGCAAAAGAAGUAGGUAGCUUAACCUUCGGGAGGGCGCUUACCACUUUGUGAUUCAUGACUGGGGUGAAGUCGUAACAAGGUAACCGUAGGGGAACCUGC